rfam:Scleroderma citrinum Foug A unplaced genomic scaffold scaffold_731, whole genome shotgun sequence.
GCCUGAAUAGUUUAAUAGGUAAAACGACUUACUUGUAAUAAGUUAAUAGCGGUUCAAUUCCACUUUUAGGCA